GGGGAUUUAGCUCAGUGGUAGAGCGCUUGCCUAGGAAGCAAGCGCAAGGCCCUGGGUUCAGUCCCCA
rnacentral:tRNA from 1 species